rnacentral:rRNA from 1 species
GAUGAACGCUGGCGGCGUGCUUAACACAUGCAAGUCGAACGAUUAAACUGGCUUCGGCCAGAUAUAGAGUGGCGAACGGGUGAGUAACACGUGACCAACCUGCCCCGCGCUCCGGGACAACCGCUGGAAACGGCGGCUAAUACCGGAUGCUCCGGGGAGGCCCCAUGGCCUCCCCGGGAAAGCCUUAACGGCGCGGGAUGGGGUCGCGGCCCAUUAGGUAGACGGCGGGGUAACGGCCCACCGUGCCCGCGAUGCGUAGCCGGACUGAGAGGUCGACCGGCCACAUUGGGACUGAGAUACGGCCCAGACUCCUACGGGAGGCAGCAGUGGGGAAUUUUGCGCAAUGGGGGAAACCCUGACGCAGCAACGCCGCGUGCGGGACGAAGGCCUUCGGGUUGUAAACCGCUUUCAGCAGGGAAGACUUUGACGGUAC